rnacentral:lncRNA from 1 species
AUUGAAUUGAAGUUGAAAUGUACCUAUCACAUCAAUUUUCUAGUAUUAUUUCCUGUUGAAUCUCCGGCAAAACAAACACUAGUGAAUCUGCUCGGCCCUUCACUAGGAAGGUGAAUGGCGAACCAUAAGUUUUUGCUCAAGUCAGAUAUUUGUGAAGUGGCAUGGUUUAUGGGAACACAUAGAUGAGCUAAGUCUGUCUAUGAAGUGUUUCAUAAUAAAUGGCUGUCUUGUUGAACUUUUUUGACUGAAAUAUAAUUAUAUACACAAAUUUCUCUUAAUUUGAUAUAUAUAAAUUUGAAAGAAUAGUCGGAUAAUUUUCCUUGUAAUUUUUCUUUGUUAUCUCUCAUAUUGUCAGUCUAUUUUGAAUAAUAGCAGGAGCUCCUAAGUCCUGGCAACUUAAGCGUGGUAUGUUGAUGAACAUGUUUGGUGGACUUGGAACUGGUGGCUCGACUGCUUCCAACAGAUUUAAUUGUUACUGCUCUCUCUCUCUAUCCCCUCCUUCCCUCCUUCCGUGGGUGUUUGUGUGCUCGCAUGUCUAUCUGAUGUGUUGUUUCAUCAUGUUUUAUUGUAGUGCCCCCUGAAGAACUAUAUGUCACUUGACCUCGCUCCCUCCCUCUGUGUGCGCACGCGCACUUGGGUGUCUAUCUAAUGUGUUGUUUGGUCAUAUGUUUUAUUGCAGUGUCCCAUGAAGAACUAUACGCCACUCAACUAUCUCAGUUACAGGAAAUGGGCUUCUUUGAUACUCAAGAAAACAUCAGGGCACUAAUUGCCUCUGCUGGCAAUGUUCAUGCUGCGGUGGAACGACUGUUGGGAAUCCCUGGUCAAUAGAAGUUGGAUGUUGAUAUUGUUUUGUUUAUAUCACUACACGUACUCCGUUGGGAUUGCAUCUGGCACAUGUGGAUAUUAGGCAAAUAAAUAUUUUGAAGGGAAUAAAAACGACACUGAUUGUUGAAACAGGCAAUUCCUGUAGGUACUGGAUGUUGGUGAAUCGGAGUCAAAUGACAAUUUCGGAAGCUAAGUCGUAACUUAUACCAUUCGAAAGGCGCUCCAGCCCUUAUUUCCUUCACGGGAAAGAGAGCACAAAAAUCUCCAAGCAACAUGUUCAUACAAGAUUUAGAUUGUAUAUCUGGAAGUGGGAUCAAAUAUGAAUAAAUAAGUCUUGUUUCUGCAAUAGUUGAGAAAUUGUGAUGAAAUCAGAGUUGAUUUUUGUGUUGUUACAGUCAUUCUAUCUUGCUUUCCCUCAAUGAACUAACAUUGACUCGUGAAUCAAAACGUCUGUUUAGCUGCUUUUGAUUUUACGAGUUUGUUUUAAGUUGAAGAGUCAUGUUGGUCGUCAAAAUGUGAUAUGGCUUGAUGCGAGGACUGGACUCGUUUAGUUCAAGUUGACACCCUGGUUGAUUUUCAUUCAUAAUAUUGACCUUG